AGGACACACAUUCACACAGUACCAUGAUGCUGGGGGAGGACACACAUUCACACAGUACCAUGAUGCUGGGGGAGGACACACAUUCACACAGUACCAUGAUGCUGAGGGCUGACACACAUUCACACAGUACCAUGAUGCUGGGGGAGGACACACAUUCACACAGUACCAUGAUGCUGGGGGUGGACACACAUUCACACAGUACCAUGAUGCUGGGGGAGGACACACAUUCACACAGUACCAUGAUGCUGGGGGCGGACACACAUUCACACAGUACCAUGAUGCUGGGGGAGGACACACAUUCACACAGUACCGUGAUGCUGGGGGAGGACACACAUUCACACAGUACCAUGAUGCUGGGGGAGGACACACAUUCACACAGUACC
rnacentral:lncRNA from 1 species